rnacentral:rRNA from 1 species
UCCUACGGGAGGCAGCAGUUGGGAAUAUUGCGCAAUGGGCGAAAGCCUGACGCAGCGACGCCGCGUGAGGGAUGAAAGCCUUUCGGGUCGUAACCUUUUUUAGGAGGGAAAGAACCGCCAUGGUGCUAAAUCAGCCAUGGUCUGACGGUACCUCCAAAGGAAACACCCGGCUAACUCCGUGCCAGCAGCCGCGGUAAUACGGAGGGUGCAAAGCGUUAAUCGGAAUCACUGGGGCGUAAAGCCGCGCGUAGGCGGCUUUUUAAGUCAGAGGUGAAAAUCCCCACGGCUCACCCGUGGAACCGCCUUUGAUACUGGAGGGGCUUGAGUGUGUGAGAGGAUAGUGGAAUUCCUGGUGUAGGAGUGAAAUCCGUAGAGAUCAGGAGGAACAUCAGUGGCGAAGGCGACUAUCUGGCACAAUACUGACGCUGAGGUGCGAAAGCGUGGGUAUCAAACAGGAUUAGAUACCCUGGUAGUCCAGCUGUAAACGAUGGAUACUAGGUGCUGGGGGCUCGACUCUCCUUGUUU